UUGUCUCCAUAUUAUAAUAAUAUUUUAUAUCUAUAUAGAAUUUUACAAUUUAUGAAGUGUUUUCCUAGAAAUUAGGAGUCAUGAUGCUUUAGUGGAAAACACACCAGAUUCAGAAUCAGGAACAUGGGUCCUAUUCCAAGCUCUGACAUUAAAUUGUUCUGUGGCCUUGGGCAAGUCAAUUAGCUUCUCUUGGAUUCAAUUUCUUUUUCUGAAAUACAAGGGAGUUAGGGAAUAUGAUCUAUGAGGUUUUGGCCAGAAUUAUGAUUCUCUAUUUGUUGCUAAUUCCUUGGUUUGAAAAUAACCAUUAUUCUCAGAGCUCACAGAGUACUUUUAAAAAAAAAUCAUUUUAACCCUUCUUUACUUUUUGUCCUAGUAAUAAUUCUAAGACAGAAGGACCAGAGCCAGGCAAAUAAGGUUAAGUGACUUGCCCAAGGUCAAACAUUUAGAAUGUAUCUGAGGUCGGAUAUGAACCCACGUCUUCCUGGUUCCAGGCAUGAAACCUUAUCCCUCAUAUUACUUAGCAAGUCCAUUUUGUCAUUUUCUAAUGCACUUAUAAUAUAUUGUGCAAUGACAUUGUAUUUAUUUGUAUUCUAUUGGGAAAUAAUUGUGAUAUCAUGGAAGGAGCACUGGACUAGGCAUAGAGAGAGAUUGAAGUUUGAGUCUUGACUCUAACAUUUACUGGCUUUGAGAAUAUCAUCUCUCUCAGCCCCAUUCUAUAGCUCUUAGAUUGACUAGGGAUAGAGCCUGAAUCACUGAUGACAUUGGUGGAGGAACCUUCUUUUAUCAGUGUAGUUUGGUACCUUCUUUGUAAUUUAAAGACUUAGGGCAUUGUUUCGAGCAUUGAGAAUUUAAAGGACUUGCCCAGCUUCACAUAGCUGGGCAGUUAGGGGCUUGUGUCAGGUCUUCUUGGUUUCAAGGCCAAUUUUCUAUCAGUGGAUACCAUAUUGUCUAUCUGUAAUAUAUUUGUGUAUAUAUAUUUAUACAUACAUACACAUAUGUAUAUUCUAUCUGAAUGUAAAUCUUUGUAUCAUUUUAUAAAAUGUUACAUAAUUGUUUAAAGAUUUUAAUUUGCACAACAGCCCCUGUAGGAGAAACCAUUGAUCCUAGAGUCAUGGAAUUAUGAAUUUGAUGGGACCUCUCAAAUCAUUUCAGAAGAACAAUUUGUAAAGAUUAAAAUUAAUAUCCAAUACUCCAAGUAUAUUUAAUAUGAUUUAUUAAAUUCAACUUGAAUCAAAGGAAAAGUGAAAGAUAGAGAAACCAAGCAAGCUGCUCCCUGCCUCCAUGUGGAUCUACCCAGAGUAAGAGAGCCAGAGCCUGACCAAAACCAAAACUAAAUAUGAAAUCAAUGUAAUGACACACAUACAUGAAAGGAAAAGGGGAAUUGUGGGAAAUGCAGUCCCCAGGGUUCAAGAUUCCAAUCAAUCCAUUCCUCCCUGUGGAUCUUUGGGAGACCAGCCUCCCCAAUGGAUCAUGAAAACAUAACUAACUUAUAACUUGAACUAGAGGCAUAUACAAAUAUUACAGUUUUUAAAGGGAAAUUACAAUAAUUUGGGGAUAAGAGGAAAAUAAAAGAGAAAAGGAACAAAACCAAUAAUGGGUGAAUUGACAAAACCCAAUUGGGGGGCAGUCCCCUUUUGCAUAAGAAUGUACAUUUAAAACAAAAGCAUUCAACCCCCUCCCCCCCAAAUUUCAAUUUUAUCAUAUCUCAAAGUUCACUCUGGAUCUUCUGGUGCAGCAUGUGGUCUCUGCAGGCAUCUUCAUGGUGCCUUCUAGAUUUUGGGAGGUAGUCUCUUGUUCUAAAUUAGGCUCAAAUUCAAAUCAAAGUUCACAAAAAUAAUAUAGCCCCCCCCCCCCGAGUAAAACAAUAAUACAUCCCCCCCCUUAGGAGGAAACAGGGAUACACAUAUGAAUUACAACAGGGAUACAGGGCAUUCAAGUCAUAAGGCAUAUGAACAGAUUAUCAAAAAUAUCAAAGAAUCCAAAGAAAUUAAAAAAUAACCUCUGAGUGAAAUAUAGAAUAUAAAAAAAAAACUUGAAAAAAUUCUGGGAGGAAUGAAAAAAGAAAAAAACAUUUCACAACUCACAACAGGUUCUUGUAGUGAUCCAUGUCCCAUAAGCGUGCAACAACAAUCAUUUAAUAACCCAAUUUAGCAGUCCAGACUACAGUAAGUUGCCACAUCAAGAAAGAAAAUAGAAAAAAGUGAAUAGAUCUCGAGACAAAUGGGAAAUAAAAUUCCCCAGUUCAGUUUUUCUUUGCUUUUCAGGAUAAUGGAUCCAGAACAAUUGAUGGUAUGUUCUUGAUAUAGAGUGUGGUAUAAGGAAGUCCUGCAUUUAAUACAUAUUAAACAGCUUCAACUUUGAGUCUCACACAUGAUCAAGUCAUUGUGCUUUUUGUGCAGAAUGUUGGUUUCUUUUACCUUUUUGUGCUUGUUGGCACUUUGCAGGUCAAUUUCUGUGCUCCUUUCUGGUUCAUUUCUCCUUGGAUUAGACAUAGUCAUCAAGCAAAGUCUCAUAAUAUUUAAAUAACUAGUGGCAGAUUGCCAUAGUUCAAAGCUUUUUGGAUGUCCUUUUAUAUACUAGGUGAAAGGACAUCUUAGCUUAUUCUAUUGCAUAAAGUAAAAAUAGUUAAAAAACCUUUUCAAUACUAGUGACAUGUUUCAAAGGCAAAAAAUGAGACAAGAAGGAAAAAAUCAAAUACUGUAUGACACAUGUAGGAAGAAAACAAAAUAUUAAAAUGUGCACAUUUCACAAUUACAUAGGUCAAGUAUAGAGGCUACCUGUUUUCAAAAAAUAAGAUUCAUUUCCUCUUAGACUUUCCAUGGUCUACAGUGUGAGUGCAAAUGAGGUAGAUAAAGCAAUAAUACAUUCAAGAAAAUACAAAAAAAAUUAGAAAAGACAUAAAAUGUUACAAAAGGCACAUCAGGUCGAUAUAGGUCACUACUACAGUUUUCUUCUUUGGAGUAGUAUAUGUGUUGUCCUACAAGGCAAUUUGUGCAAGUACAAGGAUCAACCAAAUAAAGUGCAACAAAAUAGUACAAAUCCAGCAAUAAAGAAGUCUUAUCACAAUCAGUAGUCCAAUACAAUCAGUACAAGCAAUUAUUCAUUAUUAACAGAAGGUACUCAUUUUGCAUGGCUACAAUGAAUCUAUGAGACUCUCUCUCCAAUUUUUAUGGCUGUUGGUGUAGUUAGUAGGAUAUAGAAUGGUUCAUCAUAAGCAGGUUCAGUCAACCUAGUAAGUUUGAAAUUCUUUAUGUAGACACUAUCACCUGGGUUUAAAUCAUGAAGCAAGAAAUCUAUGGGGCUUGCUUGAAAGGAGCUCCAGAGUUGUGGAGUUCUCGAAAUUUUGUUUGUAAUUAUCUGAUAUAUGUAAUAAUGGUUGUAUCUCUUCCUAAUUACAGUCAGGUAUAGGCAGGGGCAAAUGUUUGUGCAUGAAUAGGUGGAUGUCCAAAUAGCAUCUUGAAUGGUGAGAUGUGUCUGCUUCUGAGACAAAAUAGGGCCAGAGGAAGAAUUUCAGGUCACUUUAAAUGAGUCUUCAUGGACAAUUUUCCAAUCAUGGCUUUAAGUUAUUUAUUCAUUCAUUCAACUUGGCCAGAGCUCUGGGGAUGAUAUGGUGUAUGAAAUUUAGGAGUUAACCCCAAACAUGAAUAAAUUUGCAAUAAGACCAAAUUAGUAAAAGGAGUUCCUUUAUCUGAAUCAGUACAUGCUGGCAGGCCAAAAUGAGGAAUAAUUUCUUUCAAAAAGGAUGUUGGCAACAAAAGCCUCUGUGGCAUGAGCAGUAGGAAAUGCUUCCGGCUACCUGGUCAGUUGAUUGACUAUGACCAGACAAAAUUUAUACUCUCCAACUUUUGGCAUAGAGAGAAAAAAAUCAAUUUGUAGAUGCUUAAACAGUGUGUAAGCAAGAGGACAUCCACCAAAAACUUUUCCUCUAAAGGUGUGUUGAUUAAAGGCCUGGCAGGUAGGACAAACUGUACGUACUUUGGAGGCAAUUAUAGUUAUUCUAGGUGCUAUCCAUACUCUUUUAACAGAGUCUACAAUGACUUGGGUACCAAAAUGACCAUGUUUAUGAAUGAAUGACAAAUCUGGCUAUAGAAAGCUCUAGUGAGCAGGGGUUUGCCAUCUGAUGAUACCCAUACUCUAUUAAUCUCUUUUGCAUUAAAUCUUAGCUUCAAUUUUUCCACUUCCUUGUCAUUAUAAGAAAGGGAUAAAUCCAAACAAUCAGUAAUUGUUAGUGGCAUAAUUAAUUCAGGUCCUUCUAAGGCUGCCAGUUUGGCUGCGAUAUUUGCUUGGUCAUUUACCCUGGAGACAGGGUCAGUGCCACCUGUGGGCGCAGAGUAGUGAAUGACAGCUAUAGCUUUGGGGAACUGGAUGGCAGAAAGAAGUUCAGUAUUAAGGUUUGCAUUGGCAAUACAUUUUCCAGCUGAUGUUAAGAAUCCCCUCUGAAGCCAUAGCAUGUCAACAGCAUGACAUAUGCCAAAGACAUAGUGGGAGUCUGUGUAAACUGUGACUCUUUUAUCCUUUGCAAUGAUACAGACAUGUUUCAAACUGUGAGUUCUGUACCUUGUGCUCUUACAUUUGAGGGUAAGGAAGCUGACUACAGAGUAUCAAAUUUGGUAGCUACUGCAGCUCCUGUAUAGCACAUGCCAUCCCUCAUAAAGGAAGAACCAUCUGUAAAAAAUAUUAAAUCCAAAUUAGCUAAAGGGGUGUCCAAUAAAUCAUUAUGAGGUUUAUCAGCAAUGGACACUAAAGAUGUACAAUCCUGUAAAGGUUCUCUGGAAACUGGCAAAUCAGGGAGCAAGGUUGCAGGAUUAAGCACUCCACAAUGUUUUAGUGUGAUAUGUUCAUUAUUUAAUAGGGUUAUCUCAUACCUAGUAAUCCUUUGGUCAGUAAAUGCCCAUGCCCUAUGUCUUAAUAACAAUGCCUCAACCUUGUGUAGGCACAUUAUGGUAAGAGAGCAUCCUAAUACCAGAUCUGCAGAUUUGGUUACCAAUAAAGCUUUGGCAGCUAAUCUGCUAAGGCAUGGUGGUGCUCCAGAAGCUAAUGAGUCAAGCUGGGCUGAAUAAUAGGAUACUGGGCAUUGAGAAGGUCUCAAAAGUUGAGUUAGAACACCUGAAGCUACUACCCCUUUCUGUUCAUGGACAUAUAAAAUAAAUGGUUUAUCAUAAUUUGGGAUGCCUAGAGCAGAGGCAGACAGGAUGACUUGUUUUAAAUUUGAAAGAGCUGUAAGGUAUUCUGUUUUCAAUUUAAGGGGUUCAGGGACUGAGUUUUUUUGUGAGUGCUACAAGAGGCUUAGUGAUUUACCCAUAGCAUGGGAUCCACUGCUGGCAAAAUCCUGUUGCUCCAAGAAUCAUCCUCAAUUGCUUUUUAGUAGUAGGAGCACUUAAUUUUUGGAUGCUUUAAAUACACUCAGGAGAAAUUAAAUGAGACCCAGGAGUUAAAAUGAAGACUAAAUAUUGUACCUUGGGGAGACACCACUGAACUUUGUCUUUGGAGACCUUGUGGCCUCUCUUAUGUAGCUCUAAAAGAAAGUACUUUCUAUCCUCUUGGCAUGCUUCAGGGUUUGGUAAAGCCAAGAGCAAAUCUUCCAUACACCGAAUUAAAUGACUGUAUUUAAAUUUUAUGGCAUCUGUAUCCACAGUUAAGAAUUGUGUAAACAAAGUAGGACUGUCCACAAACUGCUGGGGCAAAUGAUCCCAGGUCUACUUAGAACCCUUCUAGGUGAAAGCAAAGAUAUGCCUGUAAUUCUCAUGAAUAGUUAUUGAAAAGAAAGCUGAGAACAAGUCUUAUACUGUAAAGCAUGGAGCUGUACUAGGAAUAGAAGAGAUAAUAGUAUUUAUGUUGGAAACUACAGGGUGCCUCUUUAUAAGGUGAUUGUUCACAGCUCUCAAAUCCUGGACAAAUCGAUAGAGAUGCUUGCCAUCAGGCCCUAAAUUGGCUUUUUGUCAACCUAGUAACCAUUGGUUUUGUUCUCUUUUCUUUUUAUCCACAAAUUAUUGCAAUUUAUAAGUUAGUUAUGUUUUCAUGAUCCUUUUGGAGAACUGGUAUCCCAUCAAGAUCACAGAGGAGUAUGUAUAAAUGGAGAUUUUAUACCUUUGAACUUCAUCCCCCAAAAGUCCCUAGUAUUUCCCCAAAUUCCCUUUUCCUGCGUCCUCAUGUUUUGUGUGAUUGUAUUUAAGUGUCUGUAACUCCUGCUUCUCUUUCUCUCUCUUUGACCUGCAACCAGGAUGAAUUCAGGCAGUUCUUUUGUUUUAGUUAUUAAUAAAAUUUUAUAAAAUAUAAUAGUUAUUGAUUAUUAAUUUUUAAAACCCACAAACAUUAAAAUAUUUUUAACAAAUUUGUUGAGGAAAUGGUUUUUCAGUCUCCAAGAGAAAUUUAUAUUAUAAUUUCAGGAAGUUAAUAGAUAGAGUUCUUCCUCAUUUCUGACAGAAAUCUCUCCUGAUGUAGCUUACUUACUCUUAACUUACUCUUAUUCUGGAUUCUUGGGUAAAGGGACUAUAAUACCAAAGAUCAAGAUUUAGGGUUUCAGAGGAAGAAAAAGAAAUAGGGUUCUAGAGCCCUUGGGACCUGGUUUAUUUCUUGGCUUAUUGAACUUUAAAUAGUGGGCACCAUAGAGAAGGUGGAUGGAAAUAGGAAGUGUGAUAGAAUCAGAAUAAUGUUACUAAAAGAAAUGUCUCUUAAGUAGGUGAUUCUCUGCCCUCAAAUCCUGUCCCUUCCUAUCUCCUUUCUCUCACCCCAACUUAGAGGCUAUGAAAUUUAUAGAAAUAUUCAGGUUCAUUUACUGGUAUUAUUUUUAGACAAGUCAACCUUGCUGGAAAAUUCUAGUUCCAAAAAAAUCGCUUCCUUAAGUUUGGACUUAUUAAUUAUGCUGUAAACUUUUGGCUCAGUUUCAUGUCUGUGGUGGAUAUUUGGGGAAAGUUUUGCUACCAUGAUCCUCAAUUCUUCCUCUUCAUCUCUGAAAAUGAAAAUAUAAUAAAAAAAAAACUUCAGGGAACUUCUGGGUAAGCAUGGCGGGACGCUUCCUCUCCCCAGACCCACAAAUAUAGACUACCUCAAAAGACCUAAAAAACAUUUUCAUAAGAAUGAAGGGACUCUACAGUAGGGCCCAGCAAUGAAGGUACAUGGGAUUGGGGCAUUUCCAUAUUAUAAGGGGGUGAAAAAGCUCCCGCCCAAAUAUGAGCUGAUCUACCCUCCCCCACCCCACUUAUGGAAUCAGAGUCAGAGCCAGCAUGCACCAGAAUCAGCAAGUGAGCGAGGGGCAACUCUGGAGUGAGCAAGGGGGCACAUCUAGGUCUUGGGAGCUGACUAAGACCACCAAGGACCUACCCCUGAGAGCAGUUACACUCGAAACUCCAGUGGGCAGGGAAGCACAGACCAUGGGCUCCCCUGGGAAGGUAGCACAGUUGCAGAGAUUUGAGAGCUUGCCUCAAGCAAAAUCCUUUCUCCUUAACUCCAUUCACAGAGAACCUGCCCAGCUCACUCAGAUUUCUGACUUAAAAGGGAAGGUAAGUUUUCCACAGUGAUGGCUAAUUGUGCAAAGGAGCCCCAAACUCCUUCCAAAAAAAAGAAAAAAAAGGCAGUGAUCCUCGAAAAUUUUUACGGAGGAAAAACCCAGGCUACAGAGGAUAUACAGGAAACAUAUUAAGGGAGAGGAUUAGGGGGAUUGAUUAAAAGUAAACAACUGGUUUAAAAGGAUAUAGCAAAAGAAGAAAGGACAGAACUAGGAGAGGAUAUCAAAAUGCUAGGGAAUGCACAAGUGACAAUCAUAACUCUAAACAUGAAUGAGAUGAACUCACCCAUAAAACAUAGACAAAUAGAGUAGAUUAGAAUCCAAAAAACCCUAUCAUAUGUUGUCUACAAGAAAUACACUUGAGGCGAGUAGAUACUCACAAGGUCAUAAUUAAAGGUUGGAGCAAGACCUAUUGAGGCUCAACUGAUAGAAAGAAGGCAGGAGUUGCAAUCAUGAUAUCUGACAAAGCCAAAUAAAAAUAGACCUGAUUAAAAGGGACAGGGAAGGUAAAUAUAUCCUGAUAAAAGGGAGUAUAGACAAUGAGGAAAUAUCAGUAAUCAACAUGCAUGCACCAAAUGGUAUAGCACCCAACUUUCUAAUGGAAAAACUAGUAGAAUUGAAGGAGGAAAUAGAUAGUAAAACUAUAAUAGUGGGAGACCUGAACCUACCACUAACAAAUUUAGAUAAAUUAAAUAAAAAAUAAGAAGUAAAAGAGGUGAAUUAAAUCUUAGAAAAAUUAGAGUUAAUAAAUAUAUAGUAGUAGUCUCUCAGUAACCGAGGAUGACGAUUGUCUUUGUGUGUUUUCAUCUAUGAUAGAUGAGUGUGCACAAAGACACUUGGGCGUGUAGGAGACUUAAGUGGAAAAGUUGAUGCACAGAGACAGUCCCACUCUCUCAGCAUUGGAAGCCUGGGUCUAUUGGCACGAAAAAUCAUUACACCUAGAGACUUCCUCAGCUGCAUUGGAUGGCCGUGUUGUCUUUUGUGCUCCAACACGCCCUAAGCACUCCACAGUGCUUUGCUGCAUCGCCCUCUCAGCCAUUGAACCUCCUUAUUGGUUUCUUCCAUCUGUUCAGCCAAAGCAGUCUUCACAUGCUGGGUGAGCAAAGCCUUAGUUCACUAGAGGUGUAUGACCCGAUGGCUACUCUCACAAGGUUUAGCCCACCUGUCGAAGCCGUUGCCCGGGGUGUGGCAGCUGCCGCAUGCUAGCAGCUACUAGGAGCCACAUGUGAGAGCUGGAUGUCAGGUGAGGGUCAGAGGCUGGAGAGCUGCCCUAGAAGGGCACAACAAGUCCAGCAAGUCAUCACAAGGGUUAUCCACUAUGAUCAGGCAGGAUUCAUACCAGGAAUGCAAGCAUGGUUCAAUAUUAGAAAAAUCAUCCACAUAAUUGACCAUAUAAACAAGCAAACUGACAGAAAUCACAUGAUUAUCUCAAUAGAUGCAGAAAAAGCCUUUGACAAAAUACAACAUCCAUUCCUAUUGAAAACACUAGAAAGUAUAGGAAUAGAAGGGUCUUUCCUAAAAAUAAUAAACAGUAUCUUUCUAAAACCAUCAGAAAACAUCAUUUGCAAUGGGGAUAAACUUGAAGCCUUCCCUAUAAGAUCAGGAAUCAAACAAGGAUGCCCAUUAUCACCUUUAUUAUUUAAUAUUGUGUGGUUAGGGAGGGGUAGUAUCUCUGGUAUGGAGCGCUUGUCGUAAUAGAUAUAUGGAGAAAAAUAAAUAGGGACAAAAAGGACUACAUCUUCUUUUCAGCAGCACAUAGUGCAUUCACUAAGAUUGACCAUAUAUUAGGUCAUAAAAACAUGACAUACAAAAGCAGAAAUAAUAAAUGCAACCUCUUCAGAUCAUAAGGCAAUAAAAAUAAUGAUCAGUAAGGGUACAUGGAGAGCCAAAUCAAAAAUUAAUUGGAAAUUAAACAAUAUGAUUCUCCGAAAUCGGUUAGAGAACAAAUCAUAGAAACAAUAGUUUCAUUGAAGAAAAUGACAAUGAUGAGAUAUCCUUUCAAAUUCCAUGUGAUGCAGCCAAAGCAGUACUCAGGGGAAAAUUUAUAUCUUUAAGUUCAUAUAUUAACAAAUUAGGAAGGGCAGAGGUCAAUGAUUUGGACAUGCAAAUCAAAAAACUUGAAAGUGAACAAAUUAAAAAUUAGAGAUCCUAAAAAUUAAGGGAAAAAUUAAUAAAAUCAAAAGUGAUAGAACUAUUGAACUAAUAAAUAAGACUAGAAGCUGGUAUUUUGAAAAAACAAACAAAAUAGACAAAAUACUGGUCAAUCUAAUAAAAAAAGGAAAGAAGAAAAUCAAAUUAACAGUAUCAUAGAUGAAAAGGGAGAACUCACUUCCAAUGAAGUGGAAAUUAAGGCAAUCAUUAAAAAAUAUUUUGCCCAAUUAUAUGGCAAUAAACAUGCCAAUCUAGGUGAUAUGGAUGAAUAUUUACAAAAAUAUAAAUUGCCUAGAUUAACAGAAGAAGAAAUAGAAUUCUUAAAUAAUCUCAUAUCAGAAAAAGAUAUUGAACAGGCCAUCAAAGAACUCCCUAAGAAAAAAUUCCCAGGUCCAGAUGGAUUCACAAGUGAGUUCUAUCAAACAUUCAAAGAACAGCUAAUCCCAAUACUAUACAAACUAUUUGACAUAAUAAGCAAAGAGAGAAUUAUACCAAAUUCCUUUUAUGACACAAAUUGGUACUGAUUCCAAAGCCAGGCAGGUCAAAAAUGGAGAAAGAAAACUGCAUACCAAUUUCCUUGAUGAACAUAGAUGCAAAAAUCUUAAAAAAAGGAUACUAGCGAGAGACUUCAGCAAGUGAUCAGGAGGGUUAUUCACUAUGAUCAGGUGUGAUUUAUACCAGGAAUGCAAGGAUCAUUCAAAAUCAGGAAAACCAUCCACAUAAUUGACCAUAUCAUCAAGAAAACCAACAAAAAUCACAUGAUUAUCUUAAUAGAUGCAGAAAAAGCCUUUGAUAAAAUACAACACCCAUUCCUACUAAAAACACUAGAAAGCAUAGGAAUAGAAGGGUCUUUCCUAAAAAUAAUAAAUAGUAUCUAUCUGAAACCAUCAGCCAACAUCAUCUGCAAUGCGGAUAAACUAGAUGCAUUCCCAAUAAGAUCAGGAGUGAAACAAGGAAGCCCAUUAUCACCUUUAUUAUUUAACAUUCUACUAGAAACACUAGUAGUAGCAAUUAGAGAAAAAAAAAAACAAUUGAAGGUAUUAAAAUUGGCAAUGAAGAGACCAAGCUAUCACUCUUUGCAGAUGAUAUUAUGGUCUACUUAAAGAAUCCUAGAGAAUCAACUAAAAAGCUAGUGGAAAUAACAACUUUAGCAAAGUUGCAGGAUACAAAAUAAAGCCACAUAAGUCAUCAGCAUUUCUAUUUAUCUCCAACACAUCUCAGCAGCAGGAAUUAGAAAGAGAAAUUCCAUUCAAAAUCAUCCUAGACAGUAUAAAAUACUUAGGAAUCUAUCUGCUGAGACAAACACAGGAACUAUAUGAACACAAUUACAAAACACUCUCCACACAACUAAAACUAGAUCUGAGCAAUUGGAAAAACAUUAACUGCUCAUGGGUAGGAUGAGGUAACAUAAUAAAAAUGACCAUCCUACCCAAACUUAUCUAUUUAGUGCCAUAUCCAUUGAACUUCCAAAAAACUUUUUUUUUACUGAAUUAGAAAAAACCAUAACAAAGUUCUUUUGGAAGAACAAAAGAUCAAGGAUAUCCAGGGAAAUAAUGAAAAAAAAAUACAAAGGAAGGUGGCCUUGCAGUACCAUAUCUCAAACUAUACUAUAAAGUCAUCAAAACAAUUUGGUACUGGCUAAGAUACAGAAAGGAAGAUCAGUGGAAUAGACUUUGGGUAAGUGACCUUAGCAAAACUGUCUAUGACAAGCCCCAAGAUCCCAGCUUUUGGGACAAAAAUCCACUAUUUGAUAAAAACUGCUGGGAAAAUCAGAAGACAGUGUGGGAGAGACUAGGUUUGGAUCAACACAUCACACUCGACACCAAGAUAAAGUCAGAAUGUGUGAACAACUUGAAUGUCAAGAAGGAAACAAUAAGUAAAUUAUGUUAAUAGCAAAUAGUACACAUGUCAGACCUUUGGGAAGGGAAAGAUUUUAAAACAAGCAAGACUUAGAAAGAGUCAUGAAAUGUAAAAUAAAUAAUUUUAGUCAAAAUUAAAAAGUUUUUGUACAAACAAAACCAAUGUAACCAAAAUUAGAAGGGAAAUAACAAACUGGGAAACAAUCUUCAUAACAAAAACCUCUGACAAAGGUCUAAUUACUCAAAUUUACAAAGAGCUAAAUCAAUUGUACAAAAAGUCAAGCCAUUUUCCAAUUGAUAAAUGGGCAAGGGACAUGAAGAGGCAGUUUUCAGUCAAAGAAAUCAAAACCAUUAUUAAGCACAUGAAAAAGUGCUCUAAAUCUCUGAUAAUCAGAGAGAUGGAAAUCAAGACAACUCUGAGGUAUCACCUCACACCUGGAAGAUUGGCUAACAUGACAGCAAAGAAAAGUAAUGAGUGCCGGAGGGGGUGUGGCAAAGUCGGAACAUUAAUGCAUUUCUGGUGGAGUUAUGAAUUGAUCCAACCAUUCUGGAGGGCAAUUUGGAACUAUGCCCAAAGGGCACUAAAAGACUGUCUGCCUUUUGACCCAGACAUUGCACUUCUGGGUUUGUACCCUAAAGAGAUAAUAAGGAAAAAGACAUGUACAAGAAUAUUCAUAGCUGCACUCUUUGUGGUGGCAAAAAAUUGGAAAAUGAGGGGCUACCCUUCGAUUGAGGAAUGGCUGAACAAAUUGUGGUAUAUGUUGGUGAUGGAAUAUUACUGUGCUCAAAGGAAUAAUGAACUGGAGGUAUUUCAUGGGACCUGGAACAACCUCCAGGAAGUGAUACAGAAUGAGAGGAGCAGAACCAGGAGAACAUUGUACACAGAGAGACUGAUACACUGUGGUAUAAUCGAAUGUAAUGGACUUCUCCAUUAGUGGCAAUGCAGUGAUCCUGAAUAACCUGGAGGGAGAACACUAUCCACAUUCAGAGGAAAAACUGUGGGAGUAAAAACAGCAAAGAAAAACAACUGCUUGAUUACAUGGGUCAAGGGGACAUGAUUGGGGAUAUAGACUCUGAAUGAACAUCCUAGUGCAAAUACAAUAAUAUGGAAAUGGAUUCAGAUCAAAGAUACAUGUAAUACCCAGUGGAAUUGUGUGUCAGCUAUGGGAGAGGAGGGGAAGGGGGAAGGGAAGGAGGAAUAGAGAAUGAUUUUUGUAACCAGGAAAUAAUGUUUGAAAUUGACCAAAUUAAAAAAAAAGAAAAAAUCUUCAACAAAUAAGUAAAAGAUUUGUAUUUUAUUUUUGUCACCUUAAUAAUGAGAGAUAAGUGUCCUAGCUGUGACUGCUGACAUAUUUGUUUUCCAUUAUAUAAGCUUGUAAAAUAUUCCUAGAAAAAGCUUCAAACAUAUUUGAUCUUUGGAGAGUUGGAAGAUUAACGAGUCUCAUAAAAAUGAUAAAUUAAACACUUCAGAAGUACAUUUGCAAAAUCAACCAUCAAAGAGUUAGAGUAAAGAAAUAUUAGGACUUUAUAAGCCCUCUAAUUACCAGGACCACAAGUAUGGUUUCUAUUGUAGCAACCUUUCUAUCCCAAGGAGACCUUUGUAGAAUUACCUAGUAAAUUCCAUAGAUGAGCAGGAUUUCCAUCCUGGAUGUAGCUAUCAAUUGAGUUGUUCCCCAGAAUACUGAAAAAUCAGUCUAGAUUUUGCUCUAAUGGUAAUGUCUUUGCCUUCAAUUUUUGUAGAAAGGAAAACUUGUAUUUUUUUGAGUAAUAUUAAGAAUAAUAGCCAAAGAUUUCCUUUUUACUUGAAAGUUGUAUUGCUCUUUCCCAUUUUUACUAGUUUCUGCAUUUUGCAACAACUUCUCAGAUAUAUGUAACAAAUUUUGCACUGUGAAACUAGCUUAGAGAGGCAAAUCUAGGUUCAUAAGCUAACUAUCUACAGGAGUUCAGCACCUUCUUUUUAGUUAAACCAGGGCCCUGGAAAUGUGAUCCCUCUUACAUCUAAUAUAAACUCAUUAGUUUGGCAAGAUAAGCCUUCUAUAAUCUGGCUCCAAUCUCCCUUUCCAGCCACACCCCACAUUUCUUUUCUUUAUUCACAAUUUUAUAGUCAAAUUGAUCUACUUACUCUUCCCCAUAACUUGCCAUUCUAUCCCCUGCCCCAAUCCCUUCUUCACACAGAUUGUCCCUUAUUCUUGGCACAUAUUCCUUACUCCGUUCUGCCUCUUAGAUUUCUGCUUCCUUCCAGGCUGAGCUCAUGGACCACAUCAUAUGGCAUGUCUUUCUUGUUUUCUCUAGUUCAAGGCUUUCUUAAUCUGAGAUCUAUGAAUAGAUUUCAGGGAGUCCAUCAUUCUGAAAGGGAAGGAAAUUCAAUCUUUAUUUUCACUAAAUUCUAUGUGAAACUUAACAUUUCCUUCAAUUAUGUAAAAACAUGAUUGUGAGGAAUCCAUAGGCUUUGCCAGACUUUCAAGGAUUCUUUGAUUAAAAAAUGUUAAUCAUCUUUGCUUUAUCUGUGUAAGAGAGGAAAGCAGACUCAUCAUGCUGGAAGACCAACUCAAGCGGCGGAAGGGCAGGAAGGGGAGAGAAUUCUGGAGAAGGAACAGAGGAACUGAGAAGAUCCAAACAGUUGAACUCACUUCUCUUUGGGAAGCCCACUAGGGAGGUUGGUCUGAGCUAACCUCUGAGCCUGGAGCAUCCUCCCGUGAAGCCAGACCCCAGUGUCCAGUGGAAGAAAACAAGAGUGGAUAGGACUUUGAGAAAGCUAUCCACAAUGGGAAGAUUUCCUCUUUAUCCCUCUAAAUAGUCCUUGAACUCAAUAUCAUAGCUAGGAGAGCUAGGAGUCAGAACAGCUCUUACAGUUGACCCCAGAAGGUCAGGCAGGCAAAGCCUGACCCUGCAGAACUUGGGGAGAAGGGGUUCAAUUUCUAUCUUUAGGGACUUCCUAUUUCCUACCUUCCCACUACCUUAUCCCACAAACUCACUUGCUCUACCUUUCAUGAGUUUCUUUAGAAUAAGUAGUUGUUUACUAGAUCAAGUGCCUGCUUCAUAGAAUCCAAGAAAGGAGAGUUGGAGUUUGGGGGGAGGAAGUUACACUUCUUUCCUCAGAGAGGGAGAAGCUGUCUGUCCUGUACUUUAUUUCAACCAAGUCUCUGAGGGAAUAGUAACCUGUGAUUCUGAAAGCAACUAGAGUGGGGUUUACCAGGGAAAGAGUGAGGGAAACCAAUCUAUCCCCUCUCUCCACUUCUUGGCUCCUUUCCAUUUCUACCACACUCUGGUCCUGAAUUCAGUGGUGGGGGACUCCCAUUUCUCUCCCUUCAUUACAUCUGUUAAUGUUCUAAUGUUCUCUCUGUCUCUCUGUCUGUCUGUCUGUCUUUCAGUCUCUCUCUGCCAAAUUCUGUCUUUCUCUUUCUCUUUCCAAUAAUGGUAUGUAAAUUUGUUUUGGUCAGUCAAUUAACAUUGAUCCUAGAGUCAUGGAAUUAUGAGUUGGAUGGGACCUCUCAAAAAUCAUUUUGGAAAAACAACUUUAAAAUACUUUUAACAUAUUUGUGGAGAAAAUGGUUCCUCAUUCUCCAAGGGAAAUUUAUAUUAUAAUCUCAGGAACUUAAAGUCAUUUUUAUGUACACUGUGUUUAGUGUUAGAUUCUGUGUUGUAUCCUUUUAGGAUGUAAUCUUGUAGAGAUCAUGGGCCAUUUUUUUUUGUCUUAAUCUACUCAAAGACUAAUGUCUUACAAAGGUUAAGUGCUUUAAAAUGCUUUAUGGUUUUGAUUGGAGCCAUCAGGCCCCUGAAUAUGGAAUUAAGAAUUGAAUGGAUAGACUGGAGAUCUAAUGACUGUGACAAGGGACUUUGACUGAGCAAUCUAGUGGUAACAUGAGAGGAAAAAGUCUGUAAUACCAAAUUUAUUCAGUGCUCACAAUACUCUUGUGGCAUUUGGCCACAAUCAGUUUGUAUACUAAAUUAAUUAUCCAGUAAAGGAAUGUAGUAUGUCAGUUGCCUACUAGGUGAAACUCUCCUUUAGCCACCAGCCCAGUUUCUCUGGUUCUGAGUCUUUCUGGCACAUGGAUAGAAUUGUUACUCUAAAAGGGAACAGUAUCUUCACUCAUCCUCACUCUGUUGAUUAUUUCCUCUUAAUCUUGAAUAUAGUUUGCUUCCUAUAUGUUUACAUAUCAUCUCUCUCAUUAAAUUGUAAGCUCCUUGAGAGGAGGGACUUUUGCUUCUUUUUGCAUCCCCAGGCUUAGCACAAUCCUGACACCUAACAAAUCUAUUGAUUGUUUGAAUUCAGACACAUUUCUGUGGCAUUACUGAUGCUCUACACUUCUCUACCAUGUCGCAGAAGCCAUCUCACCUUGGAAAUCUAUGUUACUGGACUUUUCACACUAGAAAUAUACUUUAUCUCCAAAGUCCCUUCCUCUUCUCCAAUCCACUGUUUCUUCCUAGAACCUCCAUGUCCAGGGCAACCAUAUCUUCUUUCCUUUCUCUUGACUCUGAGGACUUUUCCCACUACUGUCCUUCACAGGUACCUUCUCUCUCUUACCUUGUCUACCCAGGACUACCUUUUCUUUUGCUUGUGUUUGCACUCUCAAGAUUUAUCGUAGUUCCUGAACAUAAUAGGUGUUUAAGAAAUGAUUAUUGACUAGUUGAUUUUCUCCCUGACACUCUCAGAUCUCCCAUGGAGAUCAGGAAAUGUAUAUCUCCAGAGUAGUGAAGAGAAAAAGAGGCCCCUAAUUUUGGCUGCCAGUGGAAAGAUAUUAUACCAUCCUUUUUAUCAUUCAUUCCUGAGACACUUGGUGAGGAAAGGGAGGGUCAAUCAAUUUCUCCUGCCAAUGACCCACUUCUGGUGAUUCUCAUGGGGACAAAUGAUACUGUCAGAUCAAUCUAAAAAGUAUGUCAUUGAUUAUAAAGUCUUGGGCAAGAAGCUAAACAUGGUACCAUGGUACACACCAGUUUCCUUCUGUUUUCUAUUGAAGGCAAGGGAUAUAAAAGAGAAAAAGAAAAGGACUCAAGAAGUGAAAGAUGGUGUCUGACAGCGUGAUUUAGACUUCUAAACCAAUGCUUAAAAUAUAGAGAUGGCAGAUUCUUGGCUAGAGGUAGAAGGAUCCUAACAAAGGCUGGAGUGGCUAGAGUGGCUGGGAGUAGGUCUAUGGUUCUUCAGAUUUGAUCAUCCUCUUUCAAAUUCAGUCCUCCAGUUUCUGGGAAGUAGGGAGAACUGGAUGAAUAUAUCAACUUGAAAAAACACAGAACCACAGUUACAAAGAACAAGUCUUUAAUCAAGGCAAGGGAGUCAGAGUUCUUAUGGCUACCACACGGAGACAUAAACUUACUACACCCAGAACUGAGCUCUAGGACUCUGGGAACAGUGUCUUCUGGAAAAUGCACCACAAAUGGGAACAUCCAUCAUAAAGAUUCCCUUCAUGGGAAUUUCCAAGGAACUGAAGACCUUGGGGUACUAUAUAUACUUUGAGGAAUAAAGGAAAGGAAGGACAACUCAUUGGCUUACAUGGAGAUUAGGGAAGGAGUCUGGACUACCUGGAACUGGCCUAUAUGCAACAUGAGAAACCUCAAAGACAAAAGGGUACUUAAGAUUUGAUUAUCUCUAUCGAUCCUAUUCUGGGUGCUUAAUGAGUGCUUGAUGGCUUAUUGUACAGUCUGGGACAAGGCCUUUCUGAGAGUUCAUUGAAGGCAAGUUCCCAAGGGACAGAGGUAAAUUUGAGGGUUCCAUAAAACAAGGUUCUCAUUUCCCUCUUUUGGUCAGAGUGGAUUUCACCAUUGACCAUAACAAAAAGACAAAGGACAGUGUGCCUAGGAGAAUCUGACCCCCUGUUACUAGGCAGGAGUGAGAUAAGAGAACUAAGCAUGGACAAUUGGCAUCUGGGGGCACUCCUUAGCCAGAAGACAGGCAUUUUGUGUUCAGCAAAAUCUUAACAAUAAAAGCAAUCCCAUUUUCCAAA